UACAGAGGAGCCAAGCGUUGUCCGGAUUGACUGGGCGUAAAGCGCACGCAGGCGGGUGCGCGCGUGGGGUGUGAAAAUCUGGCCGCUUAACGGGCCAGGCGCCAUCCCAUACGGCGCGCCUGGACCUUGCAGAGGUCGGUGGAAUUGCCGGUGAGUGGUGAAAUGCGUAGAGAUCGGCAGGAACACCCGGGGGGAAAACCAGCCGACUGGGCCAAGGUGCU
rnacentral:rRNA from 1 species